rnacentral:lncRNA from 1 species
UUGAUUUAAAAGGGGAUCGAUUCCAUGGUAAUUUGGUGUCUUCAGUGAAAUGAUUAUAGUCUUUUAUGAGGCUAUCAAGUAUUUGCAAUGAAGCAUGGUGAUUCGUUAUGCCUUCAUGUUCGCCAAGCCUUAAAAUUUUUGGUCUUCAAGUUGAAGUCUGCAAAUCCGCCAGCUUUAAGUUGAAUUAUUCAAGCCCUCCAAGUCCACCGACCUUCAAGUUGAAGUCCUUAAGUUCACCAGAAUUCAAGUUGAGUUGUUUAAGCCCUCGAAGUCUUCGAGUCGAAAUCCC